UGUUUCUGUGAACAGCUCCAGACAAAGUGGUUAGAGCGUCUGCCUCAGAUGCGGGAUGUCGCGGGUUCGAACUCCGACCGAGUCAU